GUGUGUGUGUGUGUGUGUGCGCGUAUUUUUUUAUUUUUCAACAGAAUAAGUUUUUACACGCAUAUCCAACCUGUUUGAGUUUAAUUAGCACUGACUCGACACACCCUCAUGUGACCACCUGUACCGGUUUUUCCUGAAGAUGCGCCGCAGGCUCAUCGGCCCAAAAAGGGUAAACGACGAGAAAUAAAGCAAAGCCUAUAGAGCCGCUCUCACGCAGUCGACGCACCUCUUCACUCUCACCGAGGAGAACGCUUGAGAGCCGUCCGGGGGCCGUGUUUCGACGCGAGGCGAGCGCUCGGGACGCCUCUCUCAGGUGUUGCGCGAAGCCCGGACCCUCUGAGCUGCAGUGCGCAUUGCUAGGAAUCGUGGCUGAGAUGAGCAGCAGGAUUUCAGUCAUUGUUUCUAGUAGUGGGCGCUGCAGAUAUUCGGCUCCUCGAGCACAGUGAAAGCCGCUGGAUGGCGGCAGAGCGCGAGGAGAGCGGCGCAGGAGAACACGUGAGGAUCCGCGUCGUUCACACCCGCAAGUAACCGUGAAAAUCUCCGGCAUGCAGGUGAACCUGCCCGGGAGAGGAGGAGGAGGAGGAGGAGGAGGAGGCUGGCGUUCACACUUCCUCAUUCACUUGUAAUUGAGGCCCUUGUGCAGAAAAUAACCACAGCGGAAUUUGCGUUUCAUCAUAUGCGGCCAGUGGAGUUGUCGAGGGUCAGUGACAAAGACGAUGAAAACGAAACGAAAGCUCAUUGCGGCCGCAUGCGUUUGAACUGUUUUUCCACAAUGGUUUCGAUUUAACGACAAACAUGGCAGUUUGCCGUUUUAAAACCACUUUCGAUUAAAAAAAAAUGCUUACACUUGAGCAAGGAGGCCCGUCAGGGUUGCCUCUGAUGUCAUUUCCUGGUCUGUCACGUGACAAUAAAACGAAAGCGUGAGGGGGGGGAAAAACUAAACGCUUCCUUGUUACUGAUAAGCGUUUAUAGGCCUCGGAAGAACCGAAGUCUGUAAAUGAUCGUCGUUUACUCGCUGCUUUUAUGAACAAAUAAUUGCAUAUUAAUAAAACAAUGAAUGUCCCAAACCUGCCGGCUCCAGCCGAGUGAUUCAUUUAGGCAAUUUGCAACAAGCUUCUUCUGUAUUCAUUUGUUUUUCAUCCACUCAAAUGAAUGUUUUCUGUAUUAAACUUUUUUUUAGUCGCACUGUGGUGACAUUUGCUUAAAAGGCAAAGCAAAAAAGUUUACUGAUCUUUUUAUAUAUGUAAUAUUAUUUAACUGUGUGUGUGUGCGCGCGCGCGUGUGACAAUAUCGGUCAGCAAGUUUAUCUAAAUGAGACACUGGCUCACAAACGCGCGUCCUUUAAAAGUCAUUUAUUUGGUAUUUACAGUUGGCCAGUGGAAGCUAUGAGAAUGUGCAAGAUACAAACACUUUCGCCGGCCGCAAAACCGUUUCCAGCAGCAGCUGAUUGUGAAACAAACCGGCGUGGACCUCGUCUCUGUCGCGUAUCGGGUGCUAAAAGUUCAGUUCGUUUGUGUUUGUUUACAGCAAUACUUGGUUAAAAUCCCUGAAUGUUGAACGACAUUUGGCACAAAACCCCAUCCAGCCAAUUAGUAUCAGAAUUGCGACGUACAAUUAUGUUUUUCGACUACUACGCGCGCCGGAUCGACACCGCACUGAAAAAGAGAGAGAGAUAUAUAUAUAUGCACAUUCAUCACUAAAACACACACGUAAAGUGAUUCGAAACUGUAAUACGACUGCACAAGAAAAAUGGUCUCAAAUCACCUUUUAAGCGUAGCAGCGCGGCAACAGAAGAGAUUUUCCCUACGUGUUUAUUGGACGCGUUUCAGGCCACGCCUUUCACCGGAACGCACCGAAUGAAUCGUUCUCGAGAGCAGAAGCGGUCGGACGCCGGUCGUAUAGAGGCACUAAUGCGAUACAAAAAGUAGCUGCUGUCUUUAGUCGUAUCUGUACAGGAUGCUACAUGGAGCCCGCGCGAUCGUAUUCCCGUUCCCAAAAGGCCGAGCGGAACGCGAUCCCUUUAAAACGCAUUUAUUUUGACAGGAACACGGAACGCGAGCGAUGACUGAGCAGUAAGGAAAGAAAACAAAUGCCCUUGUAGAGUGAUGAGCGUGCGGCACUUUCCAUAAAGAGGUGCAAAAUCGGUCUGUUUCAAGGGAAAGUUAAACAAGACAAAAAAAAAGAAAAACAUUAGAUAAGCUAGUUUUAUUAUUUUGUGGAAUGUUAAAAGCAUCGUAAUACUGUCGAAUCUAUUUUAAAUACUGAACAAUUGGUUUCCGGUCCCCAGCUAGAGAGCUUCAACUGAAUUAGAAGUUAUUGUUUAGGUUUAUUGUUUUUUUAAUUUUUGCUAUUUUCUAUUUGCUUGAAAUAAACAAGCUGGCAAAAGAUAUCACGUUACACACAAACUAAAAAAACAAAACAAAAGCUAUACAAACCAAAGCAAUAAAAGAAAUGCAAAAAAAAAAAAA